GUUUUAUCCUGCAAUCCAUGAACCAGCUUAGAAGCUCUUCUCUGAACUCUUUCUAGAGUAUCAAUAUCCUUCUGAAGAUACAGUCUCCAGUACUGCAUACAAUACUCCAAGUGAGUAUGUACAAUGGCAUGAGCACUUCCCUCUUUCUACUGCUAAUACCUCUCCCUAUACAACCAAGCAUUCUGCUAGCAUUUCCAACUGUUCUAUUACAUUGUCU